UAACUAAACAAUAUAAAUAAAUAAAAUAAGCCUAACACCAUAAACUAAAACAUUCUUUUACCUAAGUAUGGGAGACAGAAAAGGUUCAACCAAAGCAAUAGAAAUAGUACCGCAAGGGAAAGCUGAAAGAGAAAUGAAAUAACCCAUAUAAGCACUAAAAAGCAAAGAUUAAACCCUGUACCUUUUGCAUCAUGAUUUAGCCAGUCCACCCAAGCAAAGAGACCUUUAGUUUGAAACCCCGAAACCAGGUGAGCUACCCCGAGACAGCCUAUUAAGGGCUAACCCGUCUCUGUGGCAAAAGAGUGGGAAGAGCUCCGGGUAGAAGUGACAGACCUACCGAACCUGGUGAUAGCUGGUUGCCUAAGAAAUGAAUAGAAGUUCAGCCUCAUACGCCUCAAAUCAAACAAACCAAGACAUUAAGAGAAACACAUGAGAGUUAGUUAAAAGGGGUACAGCCCCUUUAACAAAGGACACAACCUUAUCAGGAGGAUAAAGAUCAUAAUACAUAAAACAUUCCGUUCUAGUGGGCCUAAAAGCAGCCACCUACACAGAAAGCGUUAAAGCUCAGACAGACAAAAGUUUAUUAUUCUGAUAAAAAAUCUUAUUCCCCUAAGUAUUAUUAGGCCAAUCCAUGCCCCCCAUGGAAAAAAUUAUGCUAAAAUGAGUAACAAGAAGACCCGCCCUUCUCCCAGCACAAGUGUAAGCCAGACUGGACAAACCACUGGCAACCAACGAACUCAACCCAAGAGAGCAUUGCGAAUCACAAAAACUCCAAGAAGAACCCGCAACUAAACAAUCGUUACCCCCACACUGGAGUGCUACCAUAGGAAAGACUAAAAGAAAAGGAAGGAACUCGGCAAACACAAGCCUCGCCUGUUUACCAAAAACAUCGCCUCCUGCAAUACAAUCAAGUAUAGGAGGUCCAGCCUGCCCAGUGACCACAAGUUCAACGGCCGCGGUAUUUUGACCGUGCAAAGGUAGCGCAAUCACUUGUCUUUUAAAUAGAGACCUGUAUGAAUGGCUAAACGAGGGCUUAACUGUCUCCCUUUUCAGGUCAGUGAAAUUGAUCUACCCGUGCAGAGGCGGU
rnacentral:rRNA from 1 species